AAAUACAUACAUGUACAUAUGAGUAUUGCGAUUAUUUAAUUAUAUAUAUAUAUAUAUAUAAAUAGAAAAACACGGGAACAGUGUUCCGUCAAACUAACCCCACUUUAAUCCGGAGCGAUGAGAUCUCGACGCGUUGGAUCCCGGGAGUUGCUACUGAUAGGAUUAUAUAUACACAUACAUUCGUGCACCAAUAAUUGACAUAUAUAUAUGUAAUCAGGCGAUAUAUCGAGCAGUUGGCAGCAUUGGUUGGAGAGACAGGAGUUGGCAUCACUAGAAGUCAGAAGACGAUCGAGAGCCAGAGGAGAAUAAGAACGUGUCUUUACACGUUGCUACUAAAAAGCCGAGCUGAACUAAAGUAGACAAGCCGUAGUCGAGAGUUGUAGAGAGCCGUAGUGGAAGCAGUAACCUAAAGCCACGCCGUUAUCCAGUGCUGCUUUUGUCUCUUACUUAUUGUUUGGCUGGCCUGGAAUCUUCUGUGGUUAGCUGAAAUAAAAAACACUCGAGGAGCGAGGA